rnacentral:rRNA from 1 species
CCCUUAGAUGUCCUGGGCUGCACGCGCGCUACACUGGAAGUUACGGAUUGAGAUACUACCUUGUCCGAAAUGGUCCGGGUAAUCACCUAAAAGCUUGUCAUAAUUGGAAUGGAUUAUUGUAACUAGUAAUCCUGAACGAGGAAUUCCUAGUAAGUCCCAGUCAACAGCUGGUACUGAUUACGUCCCUGCCCUUUGUACACACCGCCCGUCGUUACUACUGAUUGGACGUUUAAGCAAGAUUUUUAAACACUGACAGUGUGUAGUUCACGCUAUACUACAGUGAGAAGAAGAAGAUCGAGCUUACUUGUCUAGAGGAAGUAAAAGUCGUAACA